GAUGAACGCUGGCGGCGUGCUUAACACAUGCAAGUCGAACGGAAAGGCUCCUGCUUGCAGGGGUACUCGAGUGGCGAACGGGUGAGUAACACGUGGGUGAUCUGCCCUGCACUUCGGGAUAAGCCUUGGAAACUGGGUCUAAUACCGGAUAGGACGAUGGUUUGGAUGCCAUUGUGGAAAGUUUUUCGGUGUGGGAUGAGCUCGCGGCCUAUCAGCUUGUUGGUGGGGUAAUGGCCUACCAAGGCGUCGACGGGUAGCCGGCCUGAGAGGGGGUACGGCCACACUAGAAGUGGGACGCGGUCGAGAGGCCGACGGGAGGCAGCAGUAGGGAAUAUUGCGCAAGGGGCGGAAGCCUGACGGAGCGACGCGGCGUGGGUGAUGAAGGUCUUCGGAGCGUAAAACUCGGUGAUUAGGGAAGAACAGAGGUGUAAGUAGCUGUGAAAAGAUGGACGGUACCUAAUCAGAAAGCCACGGCUAACUAAGUG
rnacentral:rRNA from 1 species